AUUGAACGCUGGCGGCAUGCCUUACACAUGCAAGUCGAACGGCAGCACGGGUGCUUGCACCUGGUGGCGAGUGGCGGACGGGUGAGUAACGCGUAGGUAUCUGUCCAUGGGUGGGGGAUAACAGCGGGAAACUGCUGCUAAUACCGCAUGACACCUGAGGGUCAAAGGCGCAAGUCGCCUGUGGAGGAGCCUGCGUCCGAUUAGCUUGUUGGUGGGGUAAUGGCCUACCAAGGCGAUGAUCGGUAGCUGGUCUGAGAGGAUGAUCAGCCACACUGGAACUGAGACACGGUCCAGACUCCUACGGGAGGCAGCAGUGGGGAAUUUUCCGCAAUGGGCGAAAGCCUGACGGAGCAAUACCGCGUGAGGGAAGAAUGCCUAUGGGUUGUAAACCUCUUUUCAGGGAGGAAUCAAAUGACGUGUACCUGAAGAAUAAGCAUCGGCUAACUCCGUG
rnacentral:rRNA from 1 species